rnacentral:rRNA from 1 species
AUUGAACGCUGGCGGCAGGCCUAACACAUGCAAGUCGAACGAGUGGCGGACGGGUGAGUAAUGUCUGGGAAACUGCCUGAUGGAGGGGGAUAACUACUGGAAAAGGUAGCUAAUACCGCAUACCAGCGGAUGUGCCCAGAUGGGAUUAUCUAGUAGGUGGGGUAACGGCUCACCUAGGCGACGAUCCAUAGCUGGGCUGAGAGGAUGACCAGCCACACUGGAACUGUGCCACGGUCCAGAUCCCUACGGGAGGCAGCAGUGGGGAAUAUUGCACAAUGGUCGCAAGCCUGAUGCAGCCAUGCCGCGUGUAUGUAGAAGGCCUUCGGGUUGUAAAGUCCUUUCAGCGGGGAGGCGUUACCCGCAGAAGAAGCACCGGCUAACUCCGUGCCAGCAGCCGCGGUAAUUC